UGGGGAAUAUUGCACAAUGGGCGAAAGCCUGAUGCAGCAACGCCGCGUGAGUGAUGAAGGUCUUCGGAUUGUAAAGCUCUGUCUUUUGGGACGAUAAUGACGGUACCAAAGGAGGAAGCCACGGCUAACUACGUGCCAGCAGCCGCGGUAAUACGUAGGUGGCGAGCGUUGUCCGGAUUUACUGGGCGUAAAGGGUGCGUAGGCGGAUGUUUAAGUGAGAUGUGAAAUACCCGGGCUUAACUUGGGUGCUGCAUUUCAAACUGGA
rnacentral:rRNA from 1 species